rnacentral:rRNA from 1 species
UACGGAGGAUGCAAGCGUUAUCCGGAAUGAUUGGGCGUAAAGCGUCCGCAGGUGGCAAUGUAAGUCUGCUGUCAAAGCGUCUGGCUCAACCAGAUAAAGGCAGUGGAAACUACAUAGCUAGAGUAAGGUAGGGGUAGAGGGAAUUCCUGGUGUAGCGGUGAAAUGCGUAGAGAUCAGGAAGAACACCGGUGGCGAAAGCGCUCUGCUGGGCCGCAACUGACACUAAUGGACGAAAGCUAGGGGAGCGAAUGGG